UGUGAUGCCCGAGAGACCACGCUGCUGGUGGGGGUGGGGCCUGCGUCAAGUUUGCCUGAGCUCGUACACCCUGACUUUGAAAGGCAUCCUCUGAAUUAAGCAAGCGAAGUGUGGCCGUGGGCUCGCGAAACCAUGAUGUUGUCAGUGCCUCUGUCUGGAACUCACCGGUCCUACUGUAUUUCCCAUCGCCCUGAAGGACGGCGGAAUGGACUUUUGAAGAUUUGCUUCUGGUGUCAGCUGGGUGAAAUCACUUGGUGGAGCUAGCGUAAUGUCCCGGGAGAUGCGGGAUGUGCUUUGAAGCAGCCACUAAUGUGUAGUGAAGUUUCUUUCCCCGAGGCAAAGAUAUCCAAAGACUUCAGGAAUCAAGGGGUAGAAGUGGGAGGAGCUUGUUUCACUGUAACUGUUUUAAUGACCUACCAGUAAAGUUUCAACUUCCCACCCCCACA